AGAGGAGGUGCAUGGCCGUCGUCAGUUCGUACUGUGAAGCAUCCUGUUAAGUCAGGCAACGAGCGAGACCCACGCCAACAGUUGCCAGCUCGUCCUCCGGGAUGGUGGGGACACUGUUGGGACCGCCUCUGGCUAAAGGAGGAGGAAGGAAUGGGGCAACGGUAGGUCAGCAUGCCCCGAAGUUAUCUGGGCUACACGCGGGCUACAAUGGGUGGGACAAUGGGUAUCGACACCGAAAGGUGAAGGCAAUCUCCUAAACCCAUCCGUAGUUCGGAUUGUGGGCUGCAACUCGCCCACAUGAAGCUGGAAUCUGUAGUAAUCGUGUCUCAAAAUGGCACGGUGAAUAUGUCCCUGCUCCCGUU
rnacentral:rRNA from 1 species